CACAGGUAUGGGCCCGACUCAAGGCCUUUGACAAUCCAAAUGAUACUAGGCUCUCCAGUCCCUGCUGGACUUAACGGUCCAUCUAGCCCAAAGAAGUUUCCAUCUGUUUGGUUGUGGAGAAAAACUGCAGGGAAAGGAGAGAAUUGAAAUUUUCGAUGAAUCUUUUCAAAAUUUCGCGCUUAACCUGAUUAUUCAAGGUUCCGAUAGGAUGAAUUGAGGAAAAUUUGAUUACAGAGUCUGAAACAAUGUAAAGCACUAUAAUUUUUUGUUUCCAUAAAUUUCUUUCCGCCAUUUUCGUGGCAAUCUAACAGGCAUCAGGGGAUCAGUGAAGAGAUGCUCUGAAACAGGGAUGCUCACCUGGUGAUCCUUUCCCAACUCGUCUUAAAAGACGUUUGAUGCCUGCUGAUUUUUGGAAUUGCUUGAAGUUGUUGAAUAAGAUUCAACAUUUGCAGAGAAGAAAGUUCAUUGCAGAGGCCUAGACACCUACAACUUAAGCUUGAAGUUGCUCCUGGGAAAGAAGACUACUGAUCUUGUUUUGAAUUUAAAGACGUCUCUGAACUUAUAGGCAUGUACUCUAGAGGCUUUAAUGUUUUUAGUUUGUAUGGAGCAUUUUCCAUCAUGACUUUCAUGGACACAAUGAAUAUUUUUAAAUCACAAUAUUUUUUUCUUUUCGGACUUGCUCAAGUCCAUGAUUUGCUUCUUAUUGCAAAAAAAAGUGUGAAAUGUUUUAUGCUAACGUCUGCAAUGUGAAAUUUCAUUGGAAUGCUUACCUGCUGUUGUUGGCUUUGAACUUUUUGAGCUUUGAGAUGCAGACAUUCGUUCCUUCCGCACCCGGAGAUCAUCUAAAAGCUUCUGCGCAAAAUCUGAUCUUUUCGCCAUGUUUCCUCUCAGGUGGAACCAAGUUCCAAAGCACUUCAACCAAAAAAAUGGAAUCAUGCAAGCAAGGAAUAAACUCUCCCUUCGAUUUAAAAAUUUUUUUAAAAAAAGGUAUAAACUCUCCAUCUCUGCAAAAUUGCUUUUCGAUGUGCAAAUUCUGUGCAUGGAGCCAUGAAUACUACGCUAUGGAAUCUAGAGGAUAAGCAUCUGCAGGGUGAGGAGAAGGAGAAGGAUUAUCAAGUGAUCAAAAUCAAUAGAGAAAAGAAGCGCUAUUGGGUCUAAUUCCACUUGCGUUGAUAGAAUAGUUGGGCAAUUCGUAGCAACUCCAUAACGUUACACCUCCCACAUAUCUACGCACGAACCACCAGAAAAUGAAGUCUGGCAAUCAGAAAAUUAAAAUAUGUAUCUUUUAUAUAUUUUCAGAGUGGUUAUAGAUACUCUUUCAUUUCAUGAUUGUUGGUGGUCGUUUGCAGUGACAGACAAUAAAAGUUGUCUCCCCUUGCAAUAAAUGGGUAAAUUGAUCGUGA